GACGAACGCUGGCGGCGUGCCUAAUACAUGCAAGUCGAACGCUGCUUAAGAAGAAACUUCGGUUUUUUCUUAAGCGGAGUGGCGGACGGGUGAGUAACACGUGGGGAACCUAUCUAUCAGCGGGGGAUAACACUUGGAAACAGGUGCUAAUACCGCAUAUGGCUUUUUUUCACCUGAAAGAAAGCUCAAAGGCGCUUUACAGCGUCACUGAUGGCUGGUCCCGCGGUGCAUUAGCCAGUUGGUGAGGUAACGGCUCACCAAAGCAACGAUGCAUAGCCGACCUGAGAGGGUGAUCGGCCACACUGGGACUGAGACACGGCCCAGACUCCUACGGGAGACAGCAGUAGGGAAUCUUCGGCAAUGGACGCAAGUCUGACCGAGCAACGCCGCGUGAGUGAAGAAGGUUUUCGGAUCGUAAAGCUCUGUUGUCAGCAAAGAACAGGAGAAAGAGGCAAUGCUUUUUCUAUGACGGUAGCUGACCAGAAAGCCACGGCUAACUACGUGCCAGCAGCCGCGGUAAUACGUAGGUGGCAAGCGUUGUCCGGAUUUAUUGGGCGUAAAGCGAGCGCAGGCGGUGAUUUAAGUCUGAUGUGAAAGCCCCCAGCUCAACUGGGGAGGGUCAUUGGAAACUGGAUCACUUGAGUGCAGAAGAGGAGAGUGGAAUUCCAUGUGUAGCGGUGAAAUGCGUAGAUAUAUGGAGGAACACCAGUGGCGAAGGCGGCUCUCUGGUCUGUAACUGACGCUGAGACUCGAAAGCGUGGGUAGCAAACAGGAUUAGAUACCCUGGUAGUCCACGCCGUAAGCGAUGAGUGCUAAGUGUUGGAGGGUUUCCGCCCUUCAGUGCUGCAGUUAACGCAUUAAGCACUCCGCCUGGGGAGUACGACCGCAAGGUUGAAACUCAAAGGAAUUGACGGGGGCCCGCACAAG
rnacentral:rRNA from 1 species